rnacentral:lncRNA from 1 species
CUGGUUUAUGAGUUACAACCGAUAAUUAAUUAUAGGUUGUUCCCCUGCCUCCACCUUGUUUUCUUUUCUCUACAGCUUGUUUUCAUUUCCUUUCCAAUUUAAGAAUGUGUUUAACAUUUUAUCCCAGACAAUGUGAUGGUCAUGAAGUCUCCGUCAGAGAGGAAAGAGGGAGUUAAUCUAUAAUGAAGAUCAACAGUGAAGAGGAAAGGGGUCUUCCCUGACCCUUCAGUCAUAUACGACAUUUUACACAACAAUAAUGGACCUGUGUAAGGAGGUAUGUGUGGGAGAAGAUUCCAGAAGGUCUUGAGACACUCCAGAUGAAGGUUAUCUCCCUCUGUGCCAGGCCAGAGUGCAGUGGUGCAAUCACGGCUCACUAUAGUCUCAACCUCCUGGGCUCAAGAGAUCCUCCCACUUCAGCCUCCCAAGCAGCUAGGACUACAGGCACGUGUCAUCAUAUCUGGCUAAUUAAAGAAAAAUUAUAGAGAUGGGCUCUCCCUAUGUUUCCCUGGUUGGUCUCAAACUCCUGGGCCCAAGUGAUCCUCCCAUCUUGGCCUCCCAACUUGCUGGGAUUACAGGCAUUUGCCACUGUGCCCAGCCCAUUUCAAUAUUUCUGAUCAAUAAAUGUGCCUGUCCUUCAGAUUCUCCUUUGAAUUGGCUGUCACACCUCUUCAGUUUCUUCACUGAGGAGUUAAACAUAAUCUUGAGCAGCACGUGAUAUUGUUUAGCUCUGUGUCCCCACCAAAUCUCAUCUUGAAUCGUAAUCCCCCUAUGUGUCAAGGGAUGGACCUGGUAGGGGAUGAUUAGAUCAUGGGGGGCGGUUUUCCCCAUGGUGUUCCCGUAUAGUGAAUGAGUUCUCAUGAGAUCUGAUGGUUUAAAAGUGUUUGGCAGUUCCCCUUCUCUCUCUCUCUCUCUCUCUCUGGCCACUUUGUGAAAAAGGUGCUCGCUUUUCCUUCGCUUUCUGCCAUGAUUGUAAGUUUCCUGAGGUCUCCCCAGCCAUGUGGAACUGUGAGUUAAUUAAACCUCUUUCCUUUAUAAAUUACCCAGUUUCAGGUAGUUCUUUAUAGCAGUGUGCAAAUGGACUGUUACAGCACAUAUUCAUUUUUAUAUCUAUAUUGAGUUAUCAUUUAACCUGUUUUUGAAAAUCAUCUUUUAACAUGCAUUUUUCUCUUUCUUAUUAUCUUCUUUUGUUAAAGCCUGUUCUCCAGUAGCUUCCUAAGAAAGGGUGCACAGGAGACCCAUUUUUUGAGCCCCUCCUUAUCUGACAAUGUUUUUGUUUG